AUAUGGCUGCGAGGGAAAAUACAAAAACUUUACUUUUCUGUAAGAACAAGAAGCCAGCGGCGGAAUAAACGACGCCUGAGUACAAAAGCGUACCUCACUUCAUGAGUGGAUCCUGAGAGACAGGGGAAAGACGGUCGUCUUGUUUCACCUGUCUGUGUUGGUCAGGACAUGAGAAGAUUUUCAGCUCCUGUCUAUGAAGAGUCACUGUUGAUGCUCACAAUGAGCUAUAAUAAGUCGGAUUUUCUUUCUAUUAUCACUGCAGUAGUAUCAAUAAAAAUUCAAAUUCA